rnacentral:rRNA from 1 species
UACGUAGGGGGCGAGCGUUGUCCGGAUUUAUUGGGCGUAAAGGGCGUGUAGGCGGCCAAGCAAGUCAGGGGUGAAAACCUGGGGCUCAACCCCGGGCCUGCCUCUGAAACUGGUUGGCUUGAGUGCUCUAGAGGGCAGUGGAAUUCCCGGUGUAGCAGUGAAAUGCGUAGAGAUCGGGAGGAACACCAGUGGCGAAGGCGGCUGCCUGGGGAGUAACUGACGCUGAGGCGCGAAAGCUGGGGGAGCAAAC